GAGAGCAUCGUUCUUCUAUUUCCUUCUCUUCCCUGUCGCACUGCCUUUCUGUUCUUUAGGGUUGAUUUUCUCUGCUCACUAUCAGCUAUGUCUAUUCCUCGCUAUUACGUACCGCCGUUGGAAGUGUUGCUAUCACCAGAUCCUCUUCUUGCCACCGCUCCUGUUUCGUCCUAAUCUUCUCUGCUGUAUCGUUAGUCCAAUGAUUUCUAAUGUUCUUCCCUCUCAUUCGUGCGGCACAUUGAAGCUUUUCCUUUCCUUCUUGGAGCCGACCAUGUGCUGAUUAUAACUGUCACUACUGCACUUUGGGUUAAGGUGAGGGCUCUGAUAGGGGCAAAGGGAAGGAAGGGACUAUUGAGUCUUGAAGAGCUUUGUUUGUAUAGUUCUUCUCCUUUCUAUUUUGGUAUUGUAAUGAAUUUGUGUUAAUUAUGCCAACUUAGGAUCAUGCAUUUUUUUUAUAAUCACUUGCAUAAGAACUAUUGUGUAAGGGUGUGUAUCUUAGCCUAGAAUGUUGUAUCUAUGUUGAAAUUAUUGUGAGAGGUCUAGAUAUUAGCGUAAGUGAUAUUUUUGUGUUGUUUAUGUGUUGGAAUGGCUAAAAUGAUAUUUGUUGUGAAUUGUUAGCAACCCUUUGAAGUCAAUGUUGAA